AAUGAACGCUGGUGGCAGACCUAACACAUGCAAGUCGAACGGUCUAAUAUUUAAACUUACGGUUUUUUAUAGAUAAGUGGCAAACGGGUGAGUAAAGCAUGGGAAUCUACCUAGAAGUUUGGAAUAGCUAUUAGAAAUGAUAGAUAACUACCGAAAAUACACCUUCGAGAGGGAAAGUUUGACUUCGGUCUUCGCUUUUAGAAUGAGCCCAUGUUAAAUUAGUUAGUUGGUAGGGUAAUGGCCUACCAAGAUGAUGAUUUAUAGCUGGUCUUAGAGGAUGAUCAGCCACACUGGAAUUGAGAUACGGUCCAGACUCCUACGGGGAGGCAGGCAGUGGGGAAUAUUGGACAAUGGGCGCAAGCCUGAUCCAGUCAUGCCACGUGAGUGAUGAAGGUCUUAGGAUUGUAAAAACUCUUUUAGCAGGGAAAAAAAUAGGUA
rnacentral:rRNA from 1 species